UAACGUUUACUCCGAAACGUUUCUUAUUCCCUCAUUCAUCACGCCUACUGCAAACGCUCAUCUCUCUUCCUCUCUUCCAUGAAUAUUUUCCCCUCCUUCCUCCGUGUAUUCCUAUUUCUCUUCUGACAUUUUUUAUUGGAAAAUCUGCUUCAACUAUGAUAUACUUCACUUUUUCCUCACUUGAUUUAUCUUAAUAUGGAAAAUGAUUUUUGGACUGUGUUUCGUUUACAUCCCGUUAUUAAAAUUUAAACCUUUUGGUCAUUUGGCUUCACUUUCUUGCAGCUUCAAUCACAAAGUGAAGAGAAGCAUUUUUCCAGCUACGAUCCUUCAAGAGAGAAGCAAAUAUGGUUUGUUGGAUGAAAGUAAGGACAACGGCUUUGUUGAGAACACUAUCAUCAUUUUUAGUGUAGAGUCGGAAAUAUAUAUUGAGCUUCCUUCGACUUGCUUUUUGUUAGAGUAAUAGAGCAAACAACUGAUAUUAAGGAAUCUAAUAAGCGUGGGAGGCUUGACUAUUGAAGUUUGAAAAAGCAUUCGAGCAAGACUUCUGCAUUUUCAGAUUACUUAAAAUUUGCUGCUGAAUAGUGAAUAUGAGCGCAAUUUGA